UUAAUAAAUGACACCGAGUCACUCGCUGAGGCAAAACCUUUCAAAAGAUUUGAAACAUUUUCUAUAGUAAAUAUUUUUUUCUUUGCUGUUAAGUAAUUUUUUGGCAAACUCUACAGGACAUGCAGGAACAGGGGCGGAUCUCUGCAGCCACAUUUUCCAUCCUCUAGAUGAGUUUGCGACUGCAGAUCUGAACCUCCUCCUUCCUGCAGGUUUUUAUAUCUCUGCCGCUCAGACUGAUGGACUUUGUGGAAGAUGAAUCGACUCCUCAGAAAACAACUUCUCCUGCAAUUUCUGCCGCCUUUCCUGUGGAUUUCAGGUUUUGCCGGUGGGAGUGACGUCACCCAGCCCGCCGUUUUGUGGAAGAACAAGAGCGGAGACGCGACAAUCGACUGCAGCCACAAAAAGGGCCCCACGUACUUCCAGAUGUACUGGUUCAGGCAGCUGCCGGGGAAAACGAUGGAGCUGGUCGUCUUCACCACGGCGGGCAGCAGCAAGCACGACUUCGGCAGCUUCAGCCAGGAGAAAUUCUCAGCCACCAAAGCGGAGGCCGAGAGCGGAGCGCUGACGGUGAAGAGCCUGGAGCCGGCAGAUGAAGGCCUGUACUUCUGCGCCGUGAGUUCAGCACAGCGGUGCAGGCGGGCAGGAAGGCUGAACAAAAACCCACGCAGCCAACGACGGCUUACUGUGGUUUGGACUGCAGGGGGGAGUCAAAGCGCUGUCUGCUCAUUCUCCUCCUUACACACACACAUACAAGGAAAAUAAAAAAAAUGAAGCCAUCCUUUAAAACCACAGUAAUACUAAUGAUGAAAUAUUUUGGGGUUUAUUAACUGAGAUAUCCUCAAUCCUGUUUCCUGCACAUUUUAAUCAGAAUAUUCUGUUUUUAAAUUACCGUAAAAUAUUAUUUUUCUUGCCUUGUAAAUUUUGUCCUUACUUAACAGCCGCAGCGUCAAACUCAUUUUCAUUUUGUUCCACAUCAAAACAUCUGACCGUUC